GGUCGAUGAUUAAGUUGUAAGAGUAGUGGGCAGAAGUGAUUUCUGAGAAGUUUUAACAAUGAGGCC
ensembl:snoRNA